GGGGAAUUUUGGACAAUGGGGGCAACCCUGAUCCAGCCAUGCCGCGUGAGUGAAGAAGGCCUUCGGGUUGUAAAGCUCUUUCGGCCGGGACGAAAUCGCAUGGGCUAAUAACCUGUGCGGAUGACGGUACCGGAAUAAGAAGCACCGGCUAACUACGUGCCAGCAGCCGCGGUAAUACGUAGGGUGCGAGCGUUAAUCGGAAUUACUGGGCGUAAAGCGUGCGCAGGCGGUUUUUUAAGAUAGGCGUGAAAUCCCCGGGCUUAACCUGGGAACUGCGCUUAUGACUGGAAGACUAGAGUACGGCAGAGGGGGGUGGAAUUCCACGUGUAGCAGUGAAAUGCGUAGAGAUGUGGAGGAACACCAAUGGCGAAGGCAGCCCCCUGGGCCGAUACUGACGCUCAUGCACGAAAGCGUGGGGAGCAAAC
rnacentral:rRNA from 1 species